rnacentral:misc_RNA from 1 species
ACACCUCAACUCUCGUGGCUUGCCAUGAUGAGCUUGGACUUUGGGGGUUUUGUUGGCCUGUGAGCCAGCUCCUCUUAAAUGAAUUAGCUUGCCGGUGUUUGGUGGCGUCACGGGUGUGAUAACUAUCUACGCUUGUGGUUUCCCACCAGGUAACCUUCAGCAAUGGAGGUUCGCCGGAGCUUAUAAAUGUCUCUCCUCGGUGAGGACACGUUUUGACC